rnacentral:rRNA from 1 species
AUUGAACGCUGGCGGAAUGCUUUACACAUGCAAGUCGAGCGGCAGCGCGGGGGCAACCCUGGCGGCGAGCGGCGAACGGGUGAGUAACAUAUCGGAACGUACCCCGUCGUGGGGGAUAACACAGCGAAAGCUGUGCUAAUACCGCAUACGACCUGAGGGUGAAAGCGGGGGAUCGCAAGACCUCGCGCGAUGGGAGCGGCCGAUAUCGGAUUAGCUUGUUGGUGAGGUAAAGGCUCACCAAGGCGACGAUCCGUAGCUGGUCUGAGAGGACGACCAGCCACACUGGAACUGAGACACGGUCCAGACUCCUACGGGAGGCAGCAGUGGGGAAUUUUGGACAAUGGGCGCAAGCCUGAUCCAGCCAUGCCGCGUGAGUGAAGAAGGCCUCGGUGUAAGACUCUUCGCGGCGAAUACGCACGGGUUAACGUACCG